rnacentral:lncRNA from 15 species
UCUUAAAGGAGCAACCCACCAAUUUUACACAUGAAAAUCAGUCUUCUGUAGCUCUGGAGAAGCUUUUGAAAGUGACCCUGAUGAUUUAGUGUUAUCUCGGUUUGGGCUUGGGCCCUAAACUUUUUCAACAGAAAGCCUGCAUUACACACUGAGACCGUGGAGUUUGAAAGAAGAAUACCAGGCAGGGAGGAUCUAAUGAAAAACGGCUGUUGAGUUUCAUCCAGUGUUUUUGGAGACUGGAAGUCAUAUCUUGGCCUCUGCUGCAAGAUAAUCCGAGUCACCACUUUCAUUUUUACGCUUUUUUCAUGUUUUACAAAUCCCCCAUCACACCAUCUUUUGCCAGUCCGCCUGCGUGGUGCAAAUCUAUUAUCCUCUGAAGCUUUGUCAUAAAUUGAAUAAGAUAAUCUUAAUCUUAAUUCUGCAGUAUUUUACAGUACAUACAGACCCGUUGUUCAAUUGUUCUCUUGUGAUUUUAUCUUCCAUCCGCGAGGAGCACAGAAACACCUGGCCCAUGUGUUGGAGAAGCAGCAGCUUAUGGGAUCCUGAAAACUCCUCGUUCAGACGCCCCCCCCACCCACCAACACCACUACCGACUCAGCAGCAGUGCUGGGACCUGAAAGUUUGAUCUUUCCCGUCCUGAUCUGGAGGCAGCACUUGGAACAACGAGUGACCUAACAGCUACAGACAUGACAACACUUCAGACUUGGAUAACCACGGCAGUUUGUGUUCGAUUUGUCCCCUAAAAUAAGUGGAUUUGGAAUUGCUGCUUGGAAUUUACAUUAAAUGCAGAGAAAUUAAUGUCAUUUGCAAGCUGCGUUUUUUUUUUUUUUUUUUUUUUUUUCACGUGGCAGACCAUCUCCAGCUCUAAAAAAAUUAGAUGAAGAGUUUGUACGAUGUAAACAGCAAAAAGCCAGAAGUGUCAGAAAAAGGGAAGUUGUAACUGCAACAGAACAGAAAAGCAUGUGUGGGUGUUUAACUGUGUUUUCCUGCAGGAGGUGUGGAGGUCAUGGACCACUGACAGCUGUACUGGCCACUCAGUGUUCUUAACUUGGGACUUACGUGAUUGUGGCACUAUUGCCUGCUCAGGCAUGAAGGCUGAUUGUUGCUCAAUCUAACUGCCCGA